rnacentral:RNase_P_RNA from 2 species
CCAGACGGCUGGACGGUCGCUCUUCGGGCUUUGCCCGGAGGGAGGAAAGUCCGGGCUCCACGGAAACACGGUGCCGGAUAACGUCCGGCGGGGGCGACCCCAGGGAAAGUGCCACAGAAAGCAAACCGCCCGUCCCCCGUUCUCGGGCGGCGGGUAAGGGUGAAAGGGUGCGGUAAGAGCGCACCGCGCCCCCGGUAACGGGGGCGGCACGGUAAACCCCACCGGGAGCAAGACCAAAUAGGGGCGGCACCCGUCCUUCCUCGGAAGGACGAAGCGCGUUUCCGCGCCGCCGCCCGGGUCGGUCGCGAGAGGCGUCCGGUAACGGGCGUCCCAGAGGAAUGGCCGUCCACCCCCGGUACCAUGGGAAACCAUGCGAUGGGGCGGACAGAACCCGGCUUACAGGCCGUCUGGCGCA